AUAUUUGGAUGUCUAACCAGUCUCAUAACUGAAAUUUCUCGUUUGAUCUGAUCCAUCAAUCCAACCUUUAGCACCUUCUCUUUGUCAAUUAUCUUGAUGGCUACACUCGUACCAGUUCGAAGAUUCCUAGCAUAGUGGACCUUGGCAAAGGUUCCUUGGCCCAACAAUCUGCCCAUCUCAUACUUCUGCAUCAACACGUGAGCUUUGUUUUCCAUUUCAAGCUACAAUAUUUGAACACACAAGAAAAAACUACUAUACCUGCUAAUGCAAUAUAACUGAUAUAGGUAUUUACGGAAUUGCUCUCAAGAGCCUAAAAGCUCAACCAUCUUCACAUACAUCGUGCUUUGACACUCCUGUUUUUCUUGGCUCGCCAGGCGUUUGAGCACUAUGAUAUGGGCAGUAAGUUAAAUUGUCUGCCUCAUCAUAAAGGAUGUAAGAUGGUAGCCCACAUGGAGCUAUGACCUGGUCAAAUUCAGCGGAAGAAAAUAUGAAUUUCAACAUCUUUCAGCAUUCCCUAUUUUUUUGUGAUAAGACUAGAGAAUUCUGUACUGAUGAAGAUGAAAAAGGAUGAACUGUGAAACCCUUGGCAGAAGAUGACUAAAGUUUGAACCCACCGGCAAAUGAAACAGACGUUCACCUAUCAAGUGGAGUGGUGCAGGAAGUUUUGUGGAGAAAACGAGAAUCAAAGAAGAUGUGUUACAAGGGGUAGGUUUCAACCCUGAGG
rnacentral:misc_RNA from 1 species